UACAGAGGGUGCGAGCGUUGUCCGGAAUCACUGGGCGUAAAGGGCGCGUAGGUGGCGGCCCAAGUCCGUGGUGAAAGCUCGCCGCUUAACGGCGAGUCGGCCACGGAGACUGGGUGGCUCGAGCACUGUAGGGGCAGAUGGAAUUCCGGGUGUAGCGGUGGAAUGCGUAGAGAUCCGGAAGAACACCGGUGGCGAAGGCGGUCUGCUGGGCAGUUGCUGACACUGAGGCGCGAAAGCUAGGGGAGCAAACAGG
rnacentral:rRNA from 1 species